rfam:Sphingomonas sp. Ant20 Sphingomonas_Ant20_21, whole genome shotgun sequence.
CCAGAGGGUCGGGCGACCGCGGGGAUGUUGUAAUGGCAUCCGCGAGGAAAGUCCGGGCUCCGCGGAACGACGGUGCCGGGUAACGCCCGGCGGGGGUGACCCCAGGGACAGUGCCACAGAGAGCAGACGGCCAACCCUCGGCGCAAGUCGGGGCGGUCAGAGUGAAAGGGUGCGGUAAGAGCGCACCGCGCGCCUGGUAACAGGGGCGGCACGGCAAACCCCACCGGGAGCAAGAUCGAAUAGGGGUGGCACAUGGGCUUCGUUCCGGCUCGUCACCCGGGUUGAUUGCUUGAGGCGGCGGGCAACCGUCGUCCUAGAGGAAUGGUCGCCCAACUUUCGACCGAAGGGUCGGAAAUGGACAGAACCCGGCUUACAGACCCUCUGGCAUC